GGGCAUAUGGUGUAGGGGUUAUCACGUUCGCUUUGCAUGAAAGUGUAAAUGAUUCCUGCAUGCGAAAGGUCUCCGGUUCAAAUCCGGAUUUGUCCA